UGGGGAAUUUUGGACAAUGGGCGAAAGCCUGAUCCAGCAAUGCCGCGUGUGUGAAGAAGGCCUUCGGGUUGUAAAGCACUUUUGUCCGGAAAGAAAUCCUUGGCUCUAAUACAGUCGGGGGAUGACGGUACCGGAAGAAUAAGCACCGGCUAACUACGUGCCAGCAGCCGCGGUAAUACGUAGGGUGCAAGCGUUAAUCGGAAUUACUGGGCGUAAAGCGUGCGCAGGCGGUUUGCUAAGACCGAUGUGAAAUCCCCGGGCUCAACCUGGGAACUGCAUUGGUGACUGGCAGGCUAGAGUAUGGCAGAGGGGGGUAGAAUUCCACGUGUAGCAGUGAAAUGCGUAGAGAUGUGGAGGAAUACCGAUGGCGAAGGCAGCCCCCUGGGCCAAUACUGACGCUCAUGCACGAAAGCGUGGGGGAGCAAACAGGAUUAGAUACCCUGGUAGUCCACGCCCUAAACGAUGUCAACUAGUUGUUGGGGAUUCAUUUCCUUAGUAACGUAGCUAACGCGUGAAGUUGACCGCCUGGGGAGUACGGUCGCAAGAUUAAAACUCAAAUGAAUUGAC
rnacentral:rRNA from 1 species